rnacentral:rRNA from 1 species
CAGUCGAACGAUGAAGCCCUUCGGGGUGGAUUAGUGGCGAACGGGUGAGUAACACGUGGGCAAUCUGCCCUUCACUCUGGGACAAGCCCUGGAAACGGGGUCUAAUACCGGAUAACACCGGCUUCCGCAUGGGAGCUGGUUGAAAGCUCCGGCGGUGAAGGAUGAGCCCGCGGCCUAUCAGCUUGUUGGUGGGGUAAUGGCCUACCAAGGCGACGACGGGUAGCCGGCCUGAGAGGGCGACCGGCCACACUGGGACUGAGACACGGCCCAGACUCCUACGGGAGGCAGCAGUGGGGAAUAUUGCACAAUGGGCGAAAGCCUGAUGCAGCGACGCCGCGUGAGGGAUGACGGCCUUCGGGUUGUAAACCUCUUUCAGCAGGGAAGAAGCGAAAGUGACGGUACCUGCAGAAGAAGCGCCGGCUAACUACGUGCCAGCAGCCGCGGUAAUACGUAGGGCGCAAGCGUUGUCCGGAAUUAUUGGGCGUAAAGAGCUCGUAGGCGGCUUGUCACGUCGGGUGUGAAAGCCCGGGGCUUAACCCCGGGUCUGCAUCCGAUACGGGCAGGCUAGAGUGUGGUAGGGGAGAUCGGAAUUCCUGGUGUAGCGGUGAAAUGCGCAGAUAUCAGGAGGAACACCGGUGGCGAAGGCGGAUCUCUGGGCCAUUACUGACGCUGAGGAGCGAAAGCGUGGGGAGCGAACAGGAUUAGAUACCCUGGUAGUCCACGCCGUAAACGUUGGGAACUAGGUGUUGGCGACAUUCCACGUCGUCGGUGCCGCAGCUAACGCAU